rnacentral:lncRNA from 1 species
UAAUUAAAAAUAAAACAGCUGCUGUAUGUGAGGCGUCUUCUUCCACAUGUCACACUUUUAUCAAUAUUUUCCGUUUCUACGGUAAUGAAUUUUUUCAAGUAGGAUUAACAGUCAGAUGAAGUCUGAGCUUCUUUGUUGCAGUCCAAUUUUCAUAUGGAUUUGUUGAAGCCAGCCAGUGGAAGGUGUGAUAUUGAGAUGUUCAGUCGUUGUUGCUGGUGCUCUCCUGAAGUGUAAAAGAGCUAUAUGCUUCAAGUCUUAUGGGAUAUCAUGUCUGAAUCAAUGCUGGACCCAAAUGUGGUGAUCGACAAAGGAGCCACAACCCACAAGGCAGUGUAGGAUGACUGUGAUGGAUGAUGAAGCUGUUAACCUUUUAUUUGAUUGAAAGAGUUUGAACCUGUUCGACCGUGUGAGAUAAUUGUACCUACAUUACGACUAAUCAGACUGAAAAUGAUUGUCAUUUUCUCCAAAGUGCAGUUGCUUUCUGCAAAGGUGAAUCUUUUCUUGUAUUUUGAGAACACAGCACGUGGUCACAUUUAGCUAUUAAUCAAAGGCACUUGCUACCGGAAUUCUCCACAAACGGAUUUGUCAGCCAGGUUAAGUUGAAGCUGUUUGCUGUUGCCGUCUUAUGCUGAACAUUUUUACUUGACAUCUUGCUGCUUUCUGACUGCAUAAAUUGGAAAGCUGCCUGUUUUGCACAUUUACAACAGCUUGUUAGUUGUUUUUGCUUCAUAUUUUUUUUUGUUUCAUAGGUUUUCCACCGUGUUGAUGUUUGACGGAUGACUGAAAUUGCCUGUGGUGUUGCAGUCCAAUGGUGUGUCUGCCUGUUCCAUGGUUUAAUUAGAACAAACAAAAUCGAAUUUACGAUGUUGGUCAUUUUCCGAUUUUGUUUAGUGUACUCAUUAAGUUUGUUUUUGUCGCAUUGCAAGUAAUUUGAGCAAUGUGUUUGUUUUCGCGUCUUCGCAGCAGAAAUUAUCAUGUCUUAGGUCUACUUGGAAUGGUGAAUGAUUUGUGAGUUGUGACAUGCAGAUUUGAGACAAGUUCAUAUGAUGCAUUUAGUUGUAUGUUACUAGAAUGUGCACACAAAAUUAAUGUGAGGGAAGUAUAUUAUGAACUGUAAACGCUCUAAAACGCACGGAAGGUGGAAUUGUUGAAUAAGUUAAGCUAUCUAGGUUAAGUAAAAAUGCGCCCAUUUUAAUAUGUAUAAUAAAUGUUAAGAAAAUUUCGACGUGGAAAUAAAAAUUGUAACCAUUAAUAAUUAUAAUCCAUUAUU